GGACUGGCAAGUAAAGUGGGUAUUCCUUCCGUAACACGCCCCCGCCCCCCAGACGUCCUCCCAGCCAGCCUUCCUCCUCUCCCGCUCAUCCAACCAUCCAUCCUCCCACUCUCCCACUUACCCGUCCUUACACGCACCCAUCCUCCCAUCCUCCAUCCACCCAUUCAUCGUUCAUCCCUCAUCCUUCCACCCCUUCCCUCCAUCCACGCUGGCCCCAGUGAGCACAGAGCCAUCUGGGUAAGCUCGGCUGGGUCCCGCCAUAACUGCCACUGGGGGCCCCGAGAAAUCACGCAUGUUGCCGUGAGCCCUUCCUGGCUACUAGGACCAAAGCUGAAGAGUGUAUUAUAAAAUAAUCGAGACCAGACACUGCCUAUGGGACUGAAAUAGAAGCAGCUGAACCAGCUUUGUUCCUCCGGCUGUCACCUCCACCGUUCCCACCCCCCAUCUAUAGUAGGAGGUGGCUGUGAUGGGGGGCUGUGGGUGCAGAGCAGGACAGAGAGAGGAGACAGAGUCCCUUUGAAAUAAAGUGAUUGGAGAAAAA